rnacentral:misc_RNA from 1 species
AACGCAUAUUGCGCUCUCUGGUAUUCCGGAGAGCAUGCUUGUUUGAGUAUCAGUAAACACCCUCAGAGCUUUCUUGAUUUUUUUCGAAUCUUGGGGCUCUGGAUUUGAGUGAUCCCAACGUGGUCUUUUUUUUUCGAAAGGAACAUGGCGGGCCACUUGAAAUACAGGUGCAGCUGAACUUUCUUCUGAGCUAAAAGCAUAUUUAUUUAGUCCUGUCAGCACAUGUGCUGCCGGAUUAUUACUUCUGCUGCAGCUUACAUAAAGGUUGACUGUUCAAAUGCUGACUGAUACAGAAUUUUUAGCACAGAGAAGCGCGCAAGCGGUUUCUGUGCUGUUAAACUCGAUCUCAAAUCAAGUAAGACUACCCGCUGAACUUAA